GACGAACGCUGGCGGCGUGCUUAACACAUGCAAGUCGAACGGAAAGGCCCUGCUUUUGUGGUGUGCUCGAGUGGCGAACGGGUGCGUAACACGUGAGUAACCUGCCCUUGACUUUGGUAUAACUUCAGGAAACUGGGGCUACUACCGGAUCGGAGCUCCUGCUGCAUGGUGGGGGUUGGAAAGUUUCGGCGGUUGGGGAUGGACUCGCGGCUUAUCAGCUUGUUGGUGGGGUAGUGGCUUACCCAGGCUUUGACGGGUAGCCGGCCUGAGAGGGUGACCGGGCACAAUGGGACUGAGAGACGGAGCAGACUCCUACAGGAGGCAGCAGUGGGAAAUAUGACACAAUGGGAGGAAGCCUGAGGCAGAAACGUCGCGUGCGGGAUGACGGCCUUCGGGUUGUAAACCGCUUUCGCCUGUGACGAAGCGUGAGUGACGGUAAUGGGUAAAGAAGCACCGGCUAACUACGUG
rnacentral:rRNA from 1 species